rnacentral:rRNA from 1 species
CCUACGGGCGGCAGCAGUGGGGAAUAUUGCACAAUGGGCGCAAGCCUGAUGCAGCCAUGCCGCGUGUGUGAAGAAGGCCUUCGGGUUGUAAAGCACUUUCAGCGGGGAGGAAGGCGGUGAGGUUAAUAACCUCAUCGAUUGACGUUACCCGCAGAAGAAGCACCGGCUAACUCCGUGCCAGCAGCCGCGGUAAUACGGAGGGUGCAAGCGUUAAUCGGAAUUACUGGGCGUAAAGCGCACGCAGGCGGUCUGUCAAGUCGGAUGUGAAAUCCCCGGGCUUAACCUGGGAACUGCAUUCGAAACUGGCAGGCUAGAGUCUUGUAGAGGGGGGUAGAAUUCCAGGUGUAGCGGUGAAAUGCGUAGAGAUUUGGAGGAAUACCGGUGGCGAAGGCGGCCCCCUGGACAAAGACUGACGCUCAGGUGCGAAAGCGUGGGGAGCAAACAGGAUUAGAUACCCUUGUAGUC